rnacentral:rRNA from 1 species
AUUGAACGCUGGCGGAAUGCUUUACACAUGCAAGUCGAACGAUGAACCUUAGCUUGCUAAGGGGAUUAGUGGCGAACGGGUGAGUAAUGUAUCGGAACGUAUCCAAUAAUGGGGGAUAACUAGUCGAAAGAUUAGCUAAUACCGCAUACGUCCUACGGGAGAAAGCUAGGGACCUUCGGGCCUGGCGUUAAUGGAGCGGCCGAUAUCUGAUUAGCUAGUUGGUGGGGUAAAGGCUCACCAAGGCGACGAUCAGUAGCUGGUCUGAGAGGACGACCAGCCACACUGGAACUGAGACACGGUCCAGACUCCUACGGGAGGCAGCAGUGGGGAAUUUUGGACAAUGGGCGAAAGCCUGAUCCAGCCAUUCCGCGUGAGCGAAGAAGGCCUUCGGGUUGUAAAGCUCUUUCGCAAGGGAAGAAAACUUAAGCUCUAACAUAGCUUGAGGUUGACGGUACCUUGAUAAGAAGCACCGGCUAACUACGUGCCAGCCGCCGCCGUAA